rnacentral:rRNA from 1 species
GAUGAACGCUGGCGGCGUGCCUAAUACAUGCAAGUCGAGCGAAUGGAUUGAGAGCUUGCUCUUAUGAAGUUAGCGGCGGACGGGUGAGUAACACGUGGGUAACCUGCCCAUAAGACUGGGAUAACUCCGGGAAACCGGGGCUAAUACCGGAUAACAUUUUGAACCGCAUGGCUCGAAAUUGAAAGGCGGCUUCGGCUGUCACCUAUGGAUGGACCCGCGUCGCAUUAGCUAGUUGGUGAGGGAACGGCUCACCAAGGCAACGAUUCGUAGCCCACCUGGGAGGGUGAUCGGCCACCCAAGGACUGAGACACGGCCAAGACUCCUACGGGAGGAAGACGGAGGGAAUCUUCCGCAAUGGACGAAAGUCUGACGGAGCAACGCCGCGUGAGUGAUGAAGGCUUUCGGGUCGUAAAACUCUGUUGUUAGGGAAGAACAAGUGCUAGUUGAAUAAGCUGGCACCUUGACGGUACCUAACCAGAAAGCCACGGCUAACUACGUGCCAGCCGCCACGGUAA